rnacentral:rRNA from 1 species
UAUGUGAUCGUCUCUCGCAUAUCAAUAAGCGGAGGAAAAGAAACUAACAAGGAUUCCCCUAGUAACGGCGAGUGAAGCGGGAAGAGCUCAAAUUUGAAAUCUUAAAGGGUUUCCCUUUACGAAUUGUAGUUUAAAGAAGUGUUUUCUGUUGAGGUUUUGGUAAAAGUUCUUUGGAAUAGGACAUCAUAGAGGGUGAGAAUCCCGUAUUUGACCUUUACUUUCAACUUUGUGAUACACUUUCAAAGGGUCGGAUUGUUUGGGAAUGCAGUCCAAAAUGGGUGGUAAAUUUCAUCUAAAGCUAAAUAUUGGCGAGAGACCGAUAGCGAACAAGUACCGUGAGGGAAAGAUGAAAAGAACUUUGAAAAGAGAGUUAAACAGUACGUGAAAUUGUCAAAAGGGAAGCGUUUGACACCAGUGUUGUUUUUCUGAAAAUCAAUUAAAGAACUGUUUAUGCUAAGUUGUUUAGACUUUAUCAGCUAUCUGCUUAGUUUUGAGCUUUUCUUUAGUGCACUUUUCAGUUAACAAGUCAACAUCAAUUUCUUUUGCUGUAAGAAAGCUUGAGGAAGGUGGCUUGAGAUUCGUCUUAAGCGUUUAUAGCCUCUUGCCUAUGCAGUCGGAGAGAUUGAGGUCUGCAGCGUAGAUCCUUCGGGGCUAAAUGCAUUUGUGCUAAGUUAUAGCAUUUUAUAGACAACUUGUUGACUAUGAUUUGUCUUGUAGCUUACUCGCUUAUGUUAUUUUACCUACGCUUAGGAUGUUGAUCUACAGAGCGAGAGU